CAGUCGCCGCGGGAAUACGAAGGGGGCUAGCGUUGUUCGGAUUAACUGGGCGUAAAGGGCGCGUAGGCGGGUUUUUAAGUCAGAGGUGAAAUCCCAAGGCUCAACCUUGGAACUGCCUUUGAUACUGGAAGUCUUGAGUCCGGGAGAGGUGAGUGGAACUGCGAGUGUAGAGGUGAAAUUCGUAGAUAUUCGCAAGAACACCAGUGGCGAAGGCGGCUCACUGGCCCGGUACUGACGCUGAGGCGCGAAAGCGUGGGGAGCAAACAGGAUUAGAUACCCGCGUAGUCCCUGUCUCUUAUAC
rnacentral:rRNA from 1 species